rnacentral:rRNA from 1 species
AUGUGAAAGCCUUCUGUUCAUAGGAAGAACGGCAUCUGAAACUGCAGAUCUUGAGUGUAGCAGGGGAGAGUGGAACUUCUGGUGGAGCGGUGAAAUGCGUAGAUAUCAGAAGGAACGUCGGCGAUGAAAGCGACUCUCUGGCCUAUUACUGACACUGAGUGUGCGAAAGUUAGGGGAGCAAACGGGAUUAGAUACCCCGGUAGUCCUAACUGUAAACGA